CCUUUGGAGCGUUAAGCCAAACGAAAGUAGCCAAGCAAACAAGCGUAAGCGAGUAAGCGGCAAAAUCGGACGCAAUGAAGAAGGAA
rnacentral:ncRNA from 1 species